rnacentral:rRNA from 1 species
UACGAAGGGAGCUAGCGUUGUUCGGAAUUACUGGGCGUAAAGGGCGCGUAGGCGGUUUAAUAAGUUGGAUGUGAAAGCCCUGGGCUCAACCCGGGAAUUGCAUUCAAUACUAUUUUACUAGAAUUUGGUAGAGGUUGGUAGAAUUCCCAGUGUAGAGGUGAAAUUCGUAGAGAUUGGGAAGAAUACCCGUGGCGAAGGCGGCCAACUGGACCAACAUUGACGCUGAGGCGCGAAAGCGUGGGUAGCAAACAGG